AAUGGCCGAAAGGCUGACGCAGCGACGCCGCGUGUGGGAGGAAGCUCUUCGGGGUGUAAACCACUGUUGCCCGGGACGAACGAUGAGCAUUGGCUCAUGUGACGGUACCGGGUGAGGAAGCACCGGCUAACUCUGUGCCAGCAGCCGCGGUAAUACAGAGGGUGCGAGCGUUGUCCGGAAUCACUGGGCGUAAAGGGCGCGUAGGCGGCUCGGUAAGGUUGCGGUGAAAGCCCGGGGCUCAACCCCGGGUCGGCCGUGGCAACUGCUGGGCUGGAGCACUGUAGAGGCAGGUGGAAUUCCGGGUGUAGCGGUGGAAUGCGUAGAGAUCCGGAAGAACACCGGUGGCGAAGGCGGCCUGCUGGGCAGUAGCUGACGCUGAUGCGCGACAGCGUGGGGAGCAAACAGGAUUAGAUACCCUGGUAGUCCACGCCGUAAACGAUGGGCACUAGAUGCUUGGGGGAGCGACCCUCCGAGUGUCGGCGCUAACGCAUUAAGUGCCCCGCCUGGGGAGUACGGC
rnacentral:rRNA from 1 species